GGGCGGGUAGCUCAGUGGUAGAGCAGCUGACUUUUAAUCAGCUGGUCGCGGGUUCGAUCCCCGCCCCGCUCACCA
rnacentral:tRNA from 1 species